AUUGAACGCUGGCGGCAGGCCUAACACAUGCAAGUCGAACGGUAACAGGAAACAGCUUGCUGUUCCGCUGACGAGUGGCGGACGGGUGAGUAAUGUCUGGGAAACUGCCUGAUGGAGGGGGAUAACUACUGGAAACGGUAGCUAAUACCGCAUAACGUCGCAAGACCAAAGAGGGGGACCCUCGGGCCUCUUGCCAUCGGAUGUGCCCAGAUGGGAUUAGCUUGUUGGUGGGGUAACGGCUCACCAAGGCGACGAUCCCUAGCUGGUCUGAGAGGAUGACCAGCCACACUGGAACUGAGACACGGUCCAGACUCCUACGGGAGGCAGCAGUGGGGAAUAUUGCACAAUGGGCGCAAGCCUGAUGCAGCCAUGCCGCGUGUAUGAAGAAGGCCUUCGGGUUGUAAAGUACUUUCAGCGGGGAGGAAGGGAGUAAAGUUAAUACCUUUGCUCAUUGACGUUACCCGCAGAAGAAGCACCGGCUAACUCCGUGCCAGCAGCCGCGGUAAUACGGAGGGUGCAAGCGUUAAUCGGAAUUACUGGGCGUAAAGCGCACGCAGGCGGUUUGUUAAGUCAGAUGUGAAAUCCCCGGGCUCAACCUGGGAACUGCAUCUGAUACUGGCAAGCUUGAGUCUCGUAGAGGGGGGUAGAAUUCCAGGUGUAGCGGUGAAAUGCGUAGAGAUCUGGAGGAAUACCGGUGGCGAAGGCGGCCCCCUGGACGAAGACUGACGCUCAGGUGCGAAAGCGUGGGGAGCAAACAGGAUUAGAUACCCUGGUAGUCCACGCCGUAAACGAUGUCGACUUGGAGGUUGUGCCCUUGAGGCGUGGCUUCCGGAGCUAACGCGUUAAGUCGACCGCCUGGGGAGUACGGCCGCAAGGUUAAAACUCAAAUGAAUUGACGGGGGCCCGCACAAGCGGUGGAGCAUGUGGUUUAAUUCGAUGCAACGCGAAGAACCUUACCUGGUCUUGACAUCCACGGAAGUUUUCAGAGAUGAGAAUGUGCCUUCGGGAACCGUGAGACAGGUGCUGCAUGGCUGUCGUCAGCUCGUGUUGUGAAAUGUUGGGUUAAGUCCCGCAACGAGCGCAACCCUUAUCCUUUGUUGCCAGCGGUCCGGCCGGGAACUCAAAGGAGACUGCCAGUGAUAAACUGGAGGAAGGUGGGGAUGACGUCAAGUCAUCAUGGCCCUUACGACCAGGGCUACACACGUGCUACAAUGGCGCAUACAAAGAGAAGCGACCUCGCGAGAGCAAGCGGACCUCAUAAAGUGCGUCGUAGUCCGGAUUGGAGUCUGCAACUCGACUCCAUGAAGUCGGAAUCGCUAGUAAUCGUGGAUCAGAAUGCCACGGUGAAUACGUUCCCGGGCCU
rnacentral:rRNA from 1 species